ncrna:unclassified sequences RAGATH-24 RNA
UUGGCAGUCCUUCCACUAGCUUCUCUCUGUUGGUAAAGCAGAGAUGUAUGACGACCUAGCACGGGGGACAU